rnacentral:lncRNA from 1 species
GUUUUUUUUUAAUUUUUAUGAGUUUUUAGUGUGUUUGUUUGCAGAUUGAUAAAAUGUAAAGAUGCAUAAAAUAAUGUUAAGUCUGGGUUUCACAGGGAUAAAACCUGACAUCAAUAUGCUGAUAUAAAUGUAUCAGGCAUAAAAUAUCAGGCAUAGUGAUGAUCAAACCAAAAGCAUACAACAUAACAGAAAUAAACAACAUUGUUUAGUUAUUGUCCAAUUACUGUGACAUCAUUUGAAGUUAGCUGAUUCAAUAUGGAUUGUGAAACUCGAGAAUUGUUUUUAUUGAUGGCUUCAUUGAUAAAUUUAUUGAAUGUAAUGGUUUUUUGGAUCAAAAUUCAAAAUGAUGUAGAUUCAAAAGAGAUGUAUGAAUGCAUGACAUAUAUCAUUUCAGAGAGCAACAAAGUUUCAACAACCAGCUCCUACCCUGAUUGCAUGAAUGAUCAGUGUACUUUUAUG